UGCAGAAGAAGUUUUCCGCGUUAGCGAGCAAAAGCCUUCCCAGAGAAUGUCUGCUACUUGCUAAAAACCAGUGUCUCACCAUCCCGGUGAUCGGCACGGCACCACCAUGACCAUCUCAAGCCAGCUGGUGGUACCCAUGACGCUGUGGGGCAAGAUUGCCCCCACCCACUGCAUGUCGUCCGUGUUCAUCACGAAGGACCAGAAGAUGAUCGUCACGGGCUGUAAGGACGGCCAGAUAUGCGUCUGGGACAUUGUGGACGGAGCCAAGAUUGUGCCCCGCAGCAUGCUGUUUGGCCACACCGGUCCAGUUCUGUGUCUGGCCAGUGCCUCUCCAUCUGGUGAUGGCUCACUGUUGGUCAGCUCCUCCGAAGCUGGCGAAAUGUCCUUGUGGGACCUGACAGAUGGCAGGUGUCUGGAGAACAACAAGCUUCCUUAUGUCCACACGCACAUGCAGUCCCACAUGCUUUCUGGGGGCGAAACUUCAUAUCUCUUCUGCAACGGCUACUAUGCGGAUGUUGUUGUCCUUGACACCAUGACACUGACUGUGGCCUUCGAGCUGGUGUCACGCAUUUCUUCAGACUGGAUCAGUGCCAUGCAUGUUAUUAGAACGCCUACUCGAAAUGAUGAUGUCGUCGUAGCCAUCUCUGCUUGUGGCAUGGCCAAGGUCUGGACACUGUCGCCAGAGAAUUACAAGUCUUCCAGCCCACUGUAUGAGGGGGAGUCGAUGACCCUCAAAUGCCUGAAUGCCCUGUGCCUGGCAUGCUGUGCCUACAACCAGCGCACUAUACUCGUGGUGACGGCCAAAUGCUGGCAUAUCUAUGAUGCGUACGACUUUGCGCUGCUUUGCUCGACGGACAACCGGCCGGGUGAGCGGUGGAUGGGAGGGGACUUCAUCUCUGCUGAUCGUGUAUGUGUGUGGAGUGACAAGGGUCGGGGUUACCUCUAUCAACUGCCAGCCAACAAACUGAAGGGAAAAGCAAUUAGUGCCAUCGCCGACAGCAGAGAGUUUCGCACGGGACCUACCUUCGAAGACAGCGCUUUUCUCUUCUGUGUGCUUGCUGUUCCAAAUGAUGAGAGGCUUGUGUGCCCUCCUGCCAUGGGAUACUUCCUUGGCAUGCGGGGUGGCUUUCACAAAGUGCUCCUGAGAGGAGACUCAAACGGGCGAGUCGUUCUGUGGAAUGUUGUGGACGUGGCCGCUUCCGACGUCGCUCGCAUGCGCCAAGAAGCGAAUGCCGUUGUUCAAAUGGAGCCUUUCCUGAGCCUGGCUUUGCAAGAGGCUUGGGACGAAAUGAAGCCAUCACCUCCUGGCAUUCUAGACAAAAUGGAACUACCCGGAGAGAGCCAGGAGCUGAAGCUAACGGCCAGCGUCUACCUGCCCCUUCAAGGACGCCUGGUGGUGGGCAGGGAAGAUGGCAGCAUUGUUGUAGUGUCGGCCACUCAAGCCGUCAUGCUGCAGCUCCUCUAUGGGAAGCAUCACCACGACGAUCACCCGCAGCACCAGCUUCUACACGGCCACACCGGUCGUGUGACAUGUCUGCUGUAUCCCAACCACGUGCAUUCGCGCUACGAGAUUGCCCACCUCGUGUCGGGUGGUGUGGACUUCUCGGUCUGUCUGUGGGACUUGUAUGCUGGCACCCUGUUGCACCGAUUCUGCGUCCAUGCGGGUGAAGUCACCCAGCUUCUUGUGCCUCCGAGCAACUGCAGUACUCGAGUGCUGCAGAGCAUCUGCAGUGUUGCCAGUGACCAUUCGGUGGCGUUGGUCAGCCUGAAAGAGCGCAAGUGCAUUAUGCUCGCCUCUCGUCAUCUGUUCCCUGUCGGCGUGGUGAAGUGGCGACCCUUCGACGACUUCAUGGUGGUCGGUUGCUCGGACGGCUCGGUCUACGUCUGGCAGAUGGAGACCGGCCACCUGGAUCGAGUGCUGCAGGGCCUGGCGGCGGAGGAGGUUCUGAGUGCGUGUGAUGAGCACACUGGCCACCCGGGAGAGCGCAUGACGAACCCGGCGGUGCAUUUGUUUCGGGGUCUGCGCCACCGCAACAUGGCUGCCAUCCGGCAUGCUGCCCAGCGCGGACUGCACCAUCUGCAGCAGCAGCACCACGCUUCACACCACCCCACUCCCGGACACCAGCAUGGAAUGGGCCAUGAAGUGGGCGACAGUGCGCACGCUCGUUCCCGGGCACACCCGCUCAUGAUCCAGGGGCUGAGGACCAACCCUGUGGAUCAGGACAGUCACGUGCUCUUCUUUGACAUUGAGGCGCUCAUUGUGCAGCUGCUCUCCGAAGAGUAUUCGGGAAUGUCGCCAGGCACGCUGGAGUCUCAGGGCCUCAUCAACCAGUCCGAGUACCAGAAGUACCUCACCUUGUCUUCUUCACCUGAGACUCACAAGAAACUGUCAGGUUUUAUCGCUAAAGUGAAAGACACCGCAGAGACUGCAGCAUCAAAAAUCCAAGCCAAGGCAGAAAGUGUUGGCAUAAAGACAUCUCAAACAGAUGCUUCUGUGGGCGGCAAGCCAGGAGAUCCGAAGAACGCAGCGGGACUGGCGGCCAAGCAGAAACACCUGAGCUUGGCCGAGACCAACCUGACCAUGGAGAUUGCCCAGCUGCUGCUGUCCCUCCUGCAUGCUUGGGGGCUUGACAAUGACCUCGACAAGGCAUGUGAGGGAACCUUGGGCCUGCUGUGCCCCAUGCGACCCAUCUGCUUUGGCCUGCUGUCCAGGGGCAGCCACAUGAGCCUGCUGCUUCCGACCCACACGUACCGCAUACUGCCCCCAUCUCAGGAGGCCGCACCAAUCAGCAAGGAGCGCAAGGUGGUGACCAUACCCGUGCCCAAAGAGCAGAUUGAAGAAGAGGAGCGGGCGCGACGCUUCUCAUCCAAAGGCCACUGGGAGCUGUCGACGGCCGUCACGACCAACCACCUGCUGACGGUGAUCGCCCUGGCCAACACCCUGAUGUCCAUGAACAGCGCCACCUUCGUGCCCGAGCAGGAGAAACGCCGCAAGCUGCACAGGCGCCUGAGCCGUGCGGACAGCCGGGCCUUCAUGAUGUCACCCGGUGAAGGAGGAGGAGGCAGUGGUGGUGGCAGCGUGGACAGCAGUGGCGCCCUGGCCGUGAUCCAGGAAGUGCUGUCGCAGCAGCAGGCUCACAUCAAGCAAGGCUGGAGCUUGCUGGCUGCUCUGCACUGCGUCCUGCUGCCAGACCUGGUGCGCACCCCCGACUUCAAGAGACCCCAGGUCGAGAUGCUUGCCCGCCGGUGGCAGGACCGCUGCCUGGAGGUGCGUGAGGCAGCCCAGGCAUUGCUGCUCGCGGAACUCCGGCGCAUUGGCCCCAAGGGCCGCAAGAUGGUUGUGGACGAGUGGGCCGUAUACCUGCCGAACUACGGCGAGGCCUUUCUUGCCUCGACCGCUGGGCCCACCCCACCGACACCUCAGCCGGGUCAGAUGCCACAGCCGGCUUCUGGCAUGGGUGGUGGCAGUCCAAGCUCCGUUGCACUUGAGGGUAACGUGGCCAGCUACCAGGUAGGAAGUGCGGCUAGCAGCAGGGCCUCCUCGGGACAGAACACACCGUCCGGACCCCAGCCCAAGGCCGAGACCCAGUCGAUAAGAACCAGCGAUGGACAGAACUCGUCCGAGGAAGAAGACGAGGAAGAAAGAGAAGGCGGAGAGGCGACCACCAAGCACGCCUGGAGCGCUGCUGAGGCCCGCCGCAAACAGUCGACGGCCAUUGUUCUUCUGGGUGUGAUCGGUGCAGAGUACGGUCACGAGAUUGAACAGAGCAAGCGGAAGGGCACCGACGACCAGAAGAAGAAGUCUGUCGUGGAUGGAUUUGGGCCCACCAACUACUCUCUCGCCUGGCACACCAGCCAGGCGCUGUCGUACUUGCUGCUGACGCCUGCAACUCCAGCUUUACCUGCACACACGUCACUACGCCGAGCGGCCAUCGACCUGAUUGGCCGGGGAUUCACGGUCUGGCAAGCACACAUGGACGUGUCCCGGGUGCUGCUUGGCCUGCUUGAACUAUGCUGUGAUUCGGACAAGCUCGUGCCCAGCAUGUCGUACGGACUGCCGCUGACUCCAGCGGCAGAUUCGUGCCGCACAGCGCGGCACGCGCUGUCCCUGAUUGCGACUGCGCGUCCGCCAACGUUCAUCACAACGCUGGCGCGUGAAGUGCACCGCUACAACACGCUCGCUCAAAAUGCACAGUCGCUCAACAUAUCACUGCACCAGACGGUGUUGAGCCGCGCACGUCCCGAGAUAUUGCGCAUCGUCGAGCUGCUCAUCGACAAGAUGCAGACAGAAGUUGCUGACCUGCUUGUCGAGAUUUCACAAUGUCAGCUACUGUGGGGCAACACGGCGUAUUGCCGUUGGAGCAAAGAGCGGCAGCCUCACUAUCUACGAACUGAGGGCCUCGAAGUCACAGAUAAUACCGGCCCACUCAACAAGCGUUGUUGCCUGCACAUUCUCCCCUGAUGGCAAAUACCUGGCCACCUAUUCCAGUGGGGAGAACAAGCUCUGCUUCUGGCAGACUGCGGCCGGUCUCUUUGGGCUGGGCAAUGCGCAGACGCGCUGCGUGCGCACCUACCCGACGCCUCCGCUGCCGGACAGCGUACGUGCCAACUCGCUCAAGAUGGCGUGGCUAGUGUGGAUCGCCAGUCGCACCGUCAGCCUCAUGCUGGCAGACGGCUCCGAGCACCGAUUCACCCUCAGUUAAUCCGCUUUAUUCCUCUUCGCCGGAAAUGCAUACUGCCCCUGCCGUUUGUUACAAUUAUGGCUGUGCCGGCAUCGCAGCCUGAAGGUCAGGGGCGCCCCAGCGCAUUGUCACGUGCUUGUCACUCAUGUGCUGCCGAUGUGUGUCGAAUAAUAGUAAGGGGCAAAAAGGUCAAAAGUCUUGAUGAGAAGAAGAAUAUGUAUGCCUCGUCUUUCAAGGAAUUUAUUGCUGUAUAUUCCCACAAAUUGUCACUUCCCAGCUUGCAAUUUGAGAACUACAUGGUUCGAUUUGUGGAAUGAAUUGCGGAAAGCGGUGCAAGAAGAAACUCGUAUAUCGUCGCUUGUUAAAAAGAAGCCUGGGUCUGUUUGCCUUGGCUUAAAAUUGACAGGUCUAUAGGUUAUAUUUCAGUCUCGGCGGUUUAUGAUGACAUAAGGUAGCAUCUCAAUGGUUUUAGCGGUUUAUGAUGACAAAGACUCUGAGCAGUCAUUUCGCCUAUGGUGUGUUGUGUAAUUGUAUGCGCAUAAUACAUGAUCUGUUGAAUUACAAUCUAGAAGGCCCAAAGCGAUGCUUUUUGCACAGCCAUUUAAAACACUCCCUGUGUAUAUAGGGGUCAUCACUGGCACCAGUUGACUGAUGCUGCUCGGAGCAGGCCAUUACUGUGUGGAUAAGAAAUCCUCAGUCAUUUAAAUUGAGUAAUUAAUGUAACAUAUUACUAUUUGCUGUGCGAGAGGUUUAUCAGCCUUUUUACAGUGGAAAAACAUUUGUAGAAGGAGGUUAAUCAGCAACGAGGCAAGAAAGGCCUCCUUUCCCACUGUUUUCUUACUCACGUCUGCACUAUUCCACCUAAACGAUUCUAUGGCAUCAUUUUACUACAUAUGAAAGGUGCCGUGACUCAUGGCAGCUUUGCAAGCCUGGUGCAGUUGUGCUUGUUUGUCAUACGAUGAACAGCUUGAGUGAUAGGACAAAGCUCCGUGUCGUAUUUAUUAAAGCGAAAGCCAUAGAUGCAACAUCAAAUGAGAUAUGUUACCCGCGGCAACUUCAAAUAACUUCAAGCAACUUCAAAUAACUUCAAAUGGUAUCAUUCGAUGUCAAGCAUUGUACAAUCAAAAUCCUGUCUUCAGUGAAAUAUUUUUUUUUCUCUAUACUUUUUAUCUAUUAGGUUGAAGGUAUGAGUUCUAGCAUGACUCAAGGUGUCACACCGAAGAGAUACGUUCUGUGUCUCAUCAUCUGUACAGUUAGCUAUAUUAAACACUGACCUACUAGCCAAGCUAAGCUCUUUCUACAAAAAGGCAGCUGAGGUUCCUACUUAAUUUACAGGUUUUUCUUUUACGUCCCAUGAAUUCAAUUAAUUUGUUUGGAUCGUUGACAUUGCAUGAGUAAGAUAAUGUUGCCAUAAUUGAAAAAGCCUUCUGGUGGUGCCUUCUUUUAGUGUGGCUCCUCUCUACUAGUUUUAAGGGACUUUUUUUUCUUAAAUAUAAUAUCGCACCUGUACAGAUGUGAUCAAGAAUCAGUUGAUCACAAUUAAUUUCUCUGAUUGGCUAUUUCUUAGAGCUCAAUACAAGAUGUGCUUAGCACAUGAUGCUGUAAACAUGUCUUUUCUUAUCAUAACCAUAGUCUUUCUUGCCAAGGAAGCCUAAGAAAAGUCUUAGCCAUAUUCCCUAUCCUAGUGGUGGCUUGAUUGCUUGUUGGCGGGGUAAUUAAACCCAGCACAAGCUGUGGAUUAGUUGCACUGUGUAGGAGUUGGUGUCUCAAACUGGCUCGGACAGUUGCAUAGCUAACUUUUAUUGUUUAGCCCUUAUAUUGAUGUAUGCUGGCUUCUUAAGCCAAAGCCCAAAAGAAGUUAUUUUCAGAAACUAUUGUUUUUGGGCAGUUUGGCAAUCCUUGCAGAAGUCAUCAUUGCACAAAUAAUGUGUAUGCAGAGAAGGGCUAGCAGCAGCAUAACUUUUCCAAAUGUGUUCAUUUGUUCCUUACAUUUUCAGUUCUAGUAUAUAUAGUAUUUUGCUGAAUUCCCUGAGCAUUCAUUUUUCAUACAGUAGUGGCCUGCUUUGUGGAUGGCAUGACAAACCUUAGCACAAACUUAGCACGAACUAGCAGUGUCUGCAGACUGUGGGCUCAUGUGGCAUAAGCUAAUUAAAUAUGGCUAGUUCUAAGAAUGCCCACUGCAAGGUAUCAAGGUGCCUUUCACAAAUAAAGAAGCACUGAGAAGAAAAACAAUAUUUCUCAUCUUAAAUUUCACAAUACCAAAGCUGCCACAUUUGCCGCAAGGAGACGCUUGGCAAGUGUACGAAAAAAUAAAAUGCAGGUGAUGCCGCUGGUUUGAUCUCAGUGUGACAUAGAUUUUGGCAGUAUAUUCUGAACAAAUUUCAUCGGUGAAAAUUAAUUGCACUAGUGAAUGGCUCAGAACAGCGAGUUUUCAGAAAUCUAAAUAAUCUGCUGUGCUUAAAAUGCGAAUAAAAAAAAAUUCUUGGAGCCCGUAACAUUGCUGUAACAUUCUAUUGGUUCAAUUUUCAUACGAUCGAAGCAAACAAAACAUUCUUGCCUCUAAUAAUGAACCCAUGGUGGUAGAAUUAAAGCAGAAUUAUCAAGAAAUAACUCUUGAUUGUUAAGUGAUGCAGCUCAUCACAUUUCUGUCUUUUUAAAACCAACAGCAGAAACCUUGUAGUGGAUUCAUCACUUUAAUAAAUGUCAUACUUAGUGCAUGCUUAUCAGCUAAGUCAAUGAUCAUGAACACACAUUGCUCAGCUAGGGUGGUUGCCAGGCACAACAUUACGUGACAGUCAAGGUGUUCCUCAAAGUGGUAGUGUGAGUGUUCAACCCUAGAACUUAGAAUACUGUGAAGGUUAUUCCUAGGCACACUGCCUUUUCUGAAAAAAAGCUUUGUACAAAAAAAGCCUUGCUGCUUAUUAUUAAUGUAUUUGUAAGCUUGACAAAGGACUUGCUGUUUAAGAGGCACUUCCUGAACGUUCAGGGGAACACUGUUCACUUCGUGCCCUGAAUUUGUACCAGAUGUGCUUUGCUUUGCGAGAGGAGCUGUAGGGCAGUUUGUUGUAAGGUUGAGCCAAAACGACCUCAAAAUUAAAAGUUAUUUGAAAUGCACAAUUAGCAUGAGUAUAGAUAAGGUUUAUAAUUAUAAAGCUAGAAGAGAAGGAUGUUUAUCAGUAUCUAGUAGCCUUUCUCGAGGGCAGUUUGUUGUAAGGUUGAGCCAAAACGACCUCAAAAUUAAAAGUUAUUUGAGAUGCACAAUUAGCAUGAGUAUAGAUAAGGUUUAUAAUUAUAAAGCUAGAAGAGAAGGAUGUUUAUCAGUAUCUAGUAGCCUUUCUCGAGAUGAGAAGCGAUGCAGUCAAUUGUGCCAUUAGCAUCGACUUCCUGGGCUUCUGUUAAUUGUAUAGAGCCCUUUUUGGUGAUCGUUUUUUACUUGUUUUGAAACAGUACGAAACAUUGUUGAUCGCAUGAAUUGAUCGCGUCAGAUUCCCUGACACUGCUGUAUAGCUAUGCAUAUUCCUAGCGAUGUCUAGUGCACAAAGGGAAUAUUGUAUGACUGCCUUCCUGUAUUAUCGGCACUUUUUGCUGAUAUGAUUGCAGUUAUAUUUCUAUAUUUGUAUACAUUAUAGAUUAUAUCAAAACUAUUGUUGUCCACUUUAGUAAUACCAGCCAGUUUUACCUAUAUUGCUUUUGUGAUGAUGUUAUACUUCUAUUGCGUGGCCUUGUUUGAGUGAGCAUAUAUAUAGCUUGAGAAUGUGCUCUGGAUAUUGAAGUGUGUACAGUAAACUGGCGGUAGCCAGUGUAUAACUUUAGGAAAUUUGCAUGCAUAGCCCUGAAAAAAAAAAAGCCAGUCAGUGCUUUAGGCUCAUCUUUUCUUUGCCAGCUUGUCAACAUGUAAAUGUCUACAUUCUUUUAGCAUGCUACUUUGUAGUAAUUUCCAAUUGUGUGUAUGUUAUCAUGGAAUGAAUGCUCUCAUUACUUUAAGUUGGCCUGUGUGCCACUUUGCAUGCAUGGUAAUCCAGAGGCAACCUUAAUUAUGCAUCAACUUUUUGUAUUAUUAUUGCUUAGUUUUUCAACGUUACUCAUCUGCGUGGCACUCUUGAAAUUGGUCCAAAGUGUAGUAUACUACUCAGACGUGGAAAAAAAGAAAUUUAAUCUGCAUGGUUAUUUUAUGCAAGACAUCCAUUAUGAAUGAAAUGGACACUUAGAACUCGGAAAAAGUUAUUCGACACAGAGCAUAAAACUUUGGUAAAAUAAAUAGUGAAGAAUUUAAUAGUAGUAGUGAAACAUUUUUCUUGUUACAAAAACUACAAAUUAGUGCUCUAUUGUGAAACUCAAGUGGUGGACUUGCAUUACAAAUCAUUUUAAAUAAGGCAAAUGUUUCACAACAUGCUUGCAUUCCAUCUUGCAUUUUUUUAACUCUUGAUGUUUCUUGUCCUUUAAAAGUAUGGUGGUCUGCCCGUUUUAUCUUUUUUAUUGUUGGCAACCCUUCUCACAUAUCCUGUUGAACCUCGUGCUCUCUUCUCUGCCUGAGGACCUUUGCAUCUUUCUUUACCUGCUUUCACAGGGUGACAUUGUAUUUGAAUUGAGACCCAAUUCCAGAUUUUUCAUUUCUGGGAAUCUCUUCUUUAAACUUUCGUGCGGUUGAUCACCCAAGUUAGCCACAACGUUUGACAUCUUGUCUGUUGACUCAGCCUGUUGAUCGUCGCUAAAAGUGGUGCUUUCAAAAUUUGCUGGUUUACAAAUAUGGUCGCUGUCGUUCAUUUGUAUGUGUGACUAGAGGCAGCCAAGAAAUCUGCCAGCUUCUCUUCGAUUUCUAAUUUCAUUUUUUUUCCAGUCGCAUGCAUUUCCUUCUGUGCACUCGAGUAGGCAAACAUGCAUGUUCUGCAACAGCCUAUAUCUCAAGUGUCAGCAUCAAACUGAACACAGGAAGUUAAAAUUAUAUGAGAUCUCUUAAUAAAAUCUGCUGCUCCUGUGUGCCACAUUUCCUUUUCUUGAUGUUGUUCCUAAGUAGAGAAUAGUUACACUGGUUUAAGAUGGUGCAAGAAUAUAUCUUUUUCAUUAUGAUCACAUGUUAUGUUGGGUUAUUCAGAUUUAUGCAGAUGCAAAAUGCAGAUGCCUCUGGCUAUGCUUCAUUCUUUAGGUAGCAUUCAAUGAAUUUUGUAGAAAUGGUGCACGAGAAAUGUGUCCUUUUGGUCCUUUUUGGUGUGUAAGCAUGUAUAUACUGUGGGGCUUAUUAUGAUGUCUGUAUAGAUUUAAUGCUGUUGUCCUAGGUUUAACCAAACUCUACUACUGUUACUUGUUUUGAAGAAUGCCCUAAUCUGCAAAGGUGUAUUUUCCUUUAACUAGGCUGCAGAUACUAUGAAAUUGCUGGAAAGCUGGGCAUGCACGUAAAAUGUAAACCGCUGCACAAAGAGUAAUCGAUGCUUUCGAUGUCUUCUCAAUGUAGAGCUGGAGAGCUCUUUGGACUGUUUGAUGAAACCCUUGCAGUAGCUGUAUUCAUUUGUGCUGAAUUUGUGUGACUUUUUUUUCUCUAUCUAGUUGAAAAUGUACAUCGUCAUUCUUUAUGAAAGGGAACCCACGACCGCGUGGCCUGCUCUCUACAACGGCUGCCUACAGUAUCUUGCAGCUCUUGUCCAGCGGCCAUAACUCAUUCUGUUUGCCAAUAGAUAGCGCCAAAAGUCAGUGUCUUUUCUUUUGCUGUCAGUUGACGAUGAUCCUGUAGGCAGCCGCCGCAGAGUGCAGGCCAUGCAUGCAUGUAUUCCCUUUCAUAAAGGAUGACAGUGUACAACAUUGUAGGAUUUCAUGAAGCAAAAAGGCAAGCCUUCAAAACAUUGGCACUAGUAGAAUAAGUUGUACAGCACACAGUUCCUAUUCUAUUUGUGUCUACAUUUGGCAUGUGUGCCUCACAUUACGGCUUUCUUCCUCAUUACAGAGAUCAACUUUAUAAUCGGUAAACGAAAUUGCAGUUCUUUAUAAAUUUUUUGUUGUAGAAGACAACCCCUGUGUAAUAAAAAAAAUUUAAAUCUGUUAUUAUAAAAGGCUUUCCUAAAGGUAUUGUUCUAGUCUGUCAAAAGCCAUUUUUUGAAUUAUUAUCAUUAUUAUCUUCCAACUUUGGUCCCUCUUUCUCUCUCACUUCAAUGUAUGCUGUUUAAACCAUGUCAUACAUUCCAAAUUAUUCUGAUACGCCAAUAUUUCUGACAGUCUUUUGGCAUCAUGAUAGACAUUCUUCAUACAUUAAAGUUUGGGUAAUUGGAUUAUUCUAACUGCUGAUAUAUAUUCACAGAUGUCUUUUCCAAAUAAAAGAAAAGGCACAAAAUCUUCGUACUGUAGCAAAAUAAUGCCUGCUGCUUCAUUUAGCACAUCAUGAUCUGUAUGGAGUGUGAAUUUUGUUACUUCAUAUUAACAAUGCGUCCUAACAACGAAAAUAGUGCAAUGAAUUGGUUUUUUUCUUGACAUAAUUCAUAAGUGUCACUUGUUGCGAGGUUUCUUUGAAAUAAUUUUCAUGUUUCUCUAUGGAAACACCUGACAUCUGUUGGCAAAGAUAUUAGCGCAGUGCUCAGGUGUGUUCCAGUUUCUUUAUUCAGGAAAGUUCAUGUUUUCAAGAUAUGUUUGCAUUUCUUUUUGUGUCCAACAGGGAUUGGAAAAAUUAGAAACAUAGUAUACAUGCAUAUGUUCACACUUUCACACUUCAGGGCAGAUGCUACUCAAAAAAGAAAGUGUAUUUAGUCUGUAGCCAAGUGCAAUAAAAUGUUCGCUGUCUACACAUAUAUCUUUGAUGAUUUCAAAUAUGCAAUCAAUUGUAUAGUAAUUUGCGUAGUUUUUCUUUUGUACCAUGACAAGGCAUAACUUAUAGCUCUUUUUGGACGCAUUGUUUUUGCCACUAAACUUAUAUUGUUAUGAAUUGUUAAUGACUCAUAUUGCUACACAUGAACUGUAGAAUGCAAAUAACUAUCAAGAAAGUUUGUAUAAGACAUUUUAAUGAAUGAGCAAAAUUGUAAUGUGAGAGUCAUGAAAUGCUCAAGCCACAGUAAUUGCUUACUUCAUAAUAACUAUAUAAAUAAUAUGAGGUUUGAAAGGUGACAAUUGUACUCCACACUUGUUAAGGAACAUGAGUAAGCUAUCUCAAGUUAAGUGACAACAUUGAGUUUUCUUGUCAUGAAAGUAGAGAAACUAAACUGGUGAAAGCAAAUAGAAACGAAAAAGUAUGUAAUGUUGGAAAAAACAUUUUUUGAGUAGCAUCUCCCCUUGAGCACCUUACACGCGGUGCCAGUGUUUGAAGUGUAGCAUUUGAAUACAUGGUCUCAGAGUGGCCAUUAUAUAAUAAUCUCGGUACUAAUAAAAAAGUUCUAAAAGUACUGAUGACACGUCUGUCCUUUCGCAUUGUGUUCCACAUUAUUAUCGCUCGCUCUUUGUCUUUCAGGUUCACAAUCUCUAUGUCGUAACUUCUUAUUGGGCUGGUGCUUCAGAGAACCUUCCUGAGCUCGCAUGACACUCAAAGGCAAUUUUUUGUUUGACCGACAAAUACUUCUCAAGUGUCCGGCCGGCCACACCUUCACAAGAGCACCGCAAAGAACCGACUGCGAAGGUAACAUUCGUGAGAGUUUUUUCCUGCUCACCCGCUGUUUACAUCUCACCAGCAAAAAUGCGAGAGGUGUCUUGUGCGAAAAAUAUGCUGAUCAGUGGCAGAGGCAAUGUGUGUGUGGACACGCUAGCAUCUUUGCAUAUCUAGUCCAAUAUUGUGGAAGCACACCUGUGUUCACCCUCGAACUGUCAUUGAAAGACAUGAGCAGAGGUCGCUCAGCAUUGUGCUUUUUGUGUCCGGGAUACGGAGUGUUGCGCGAAGAGUGUUAGCUAGACAGGAUGUAUGGAGUUUCGUCUGAGGAUGCCAUGUGUAUAAUUUGAAUUCUGCGGAAUACCUAUUAUGGGUUACGUUGUUACAUGUGUAUACAUAAGUGAAUAAAUGCGUUGAUUGAAGGUGUA
rnacentral:misc_RNA from 1 species